AUGACCACCACUGCCUGUGCACGCCUCUGGAUUCGUGCAAGUCUGAUGAUGUUUUUGUACAACUACGGCGACGCCAAACAUCUACGGAUCAAGUCCAACAACGACUAUGUACAACUACCGUCGCAAGAACCAAGACCGGCAAGUCCGAAGACCCCAAGUACCACGACUACCCUCGAGGACAUUGGUUCCGUCAAGUUCGACUACAACGUGUGUACAACUACCGUUGCCGUGAUUUCGACAAGACGUCAUGUACCUCUACUUCCACUACGACACGAGUACAACUACUUCCACUACGACCGCUGCGAGAACGUCUACUUCCUCUACAUCGCAUCGAACCCGAACCGCUCCGAAACGCACACUUUGAAGCUUCGGUUUCGUUCUGGAGUUGUGAGGAUUCGUUUGACUACGUUCAUUUGUCUUCUUCAUGGACUCGUUCUUCUUCCUUGCAGGAUUUCAGUUGCAGGUGCCGAUGACACCAGUGCUGGCGACACAACCGAGCUCAGAUGGGAGCUCAACGAAGAUCUUGGUCGUUGCUAUGUUUCGUUUCAUGUUGAUCAGUAG
rnacentral:rRNA from 1 species